rnacentral:rRNA from 1 species
GGAAUAUUGGUCAAUGGGCGAGAGCCUGAACCAGCCAAGUAGCGUGCAGGAUGACGGCCCUAUGGGUUGUAAACUGCUUUUAUAUGGGGAUAAAGUGAGGGACGUGUCCCUUUUUGUAGGUACCAUAUGAAUAAGGACCGGCUAAUUCCGUGCCAGCAGCCGCGGUAAUACGGAAGGUCCGGGCGUUAUCCGGAUUUAUUGGGUUUAAAGGGAGCGCAGGCUGAUGAUUAAGCGUGACGUGAAAUGUAGCCGCUCAACGGCUGAACUGCGUCGCGAACUGGUUUCUUUGAGUGAGUACGACGUCAGCGGAAUUCGUGGUGUAGCGGUGAAAUGCUUAGAUAUCACGAAGAACCCCGAUUGCGAAGGCAGCUGACGAGUCCUUUACUGACGCUAAAGCUCGAAGGUGCGGGUAUCGAACA